UUCCAAAGGCUCUAGGAACCUCCUGGACUGACUCCUUUCCACUGUUGGGUCUCCAGCAGACACUGGCAGGUUAAAGUGUCCCACAAGAACAAGGUCUAGUGAUGGCGAAACAUCAGCCAGCUGCCUACAGAAUAUUCCAUCUGCCUCUUUAUCCUGGUUGAAUGGUCUGCAGUGGAUUCCCACCAGGAUAUCUGGCUUACCAGCCUUUGCCCUGAUUCUCAGCCCUAGGCACUCAGUCUUAUCACCACUAUCCCCAAGCUCUGUGCAGUUAAAGCACUCCCUGAGGUACAGAGACACCCCAUUUCCUCUUCUGCCUUGCCUAUCCCCUCUGAAAAGUUUGUAGCCACCCACUGCAGCACUCCAGUCAUGACUCCAGUCACCCCACCACAUUUCCCUGAUGAUGACUACGUCACAGCUUUCCUGCUGUGUGAUGGCCUCUGGUUCCUCCUGUUUCUUACCCACACCGCCUACACUGGUGUCGAUGCAAUUGUGACUGCUCCAUUCUCCUCCAAAAUCAGCUUCUAUGUGUCUCAGGUCCUGCACCUCAAGGGAAUUCUGCAGCACUGACUCAUGCCACCUUCAGACCGUGUAACUGGUUAUCCACAUGCAAGACUGCCUUAGCCCAGGCUCUCUUGGUCAUGGGUUUGGGACACAGCUUGAGAAAGGCUCUGCACUGGAAUGGGAAAGCACCGUAAUGCUCCUGCAGCAACCACACAGACACGGAGCACAGGUCUCUGCAGCACCAGGUGUCCAAGCACAUGGUCUCCAACACAACCUGCAGCAGAUCCAGGGGAUGCUCAAGGUUCAGGGACCACUGAGAAAGCUCUCUUCCAUGAUAAUUCUUGGCUGCAGCCCUAGGAAGUAUCAUUCAUGGGCGCUCCAGCUACAGCAGCUACUAAAGAGAACAGCACAGUGAAAUUGCAACGGAGAGCUCCUUCCAAGUGAUACUACUCAGCAAGGUUCCUUAAAGAAAGAAAUGCUACUAUAUAAAGGUUUGUUGAGUUGAUAGCAAAUGACCAAAAAUGUUUCAUUUAGGCCUCAGUAAACAUUUUAUACAUGUUAA